rnacentral:rRNA from 1 species
CCCUUAGAUGUUCUGGGCCGCACGCGCGCUACACUGACGAAGUCAGCGAGCAUGUCCUACGCCGACAGGUGCGGGGAAUCUUGUCAAACUUCGUCGUGAUGGGGAUUGAUUAUUGAAAUUCUUGAUCAUCAACGAGGAAUUCCUAGUAAGCGCAAGUCAGCAGCUUGCGUUGAUUACGUCCCUGCCCUUUGUACACACCGCCCGUCGCUCCUACCGAUGAAUCGUCCGGUGAAGUUCAUGGAGUGGUGGUUGUUCCAGCUGCUGUCGAAGUGAAAUGGACCUCACGAUUUAGAGGAAGGAGAAGUCGUAACA